CAAAUUUAGAUGGCAAUUCCCUAGAAAUUUGUUUUAACAAGGAACUCUUUCAACUAGUUUGUGACCUGGUCAAACUCCCUGAUAAAGUAGAGAUUGCCAGCUCUUGUGCUACUGCUUCAGUUUUAAUUGCAAAUAUUCUGUCUGAUGUACCUGAUCUUGCUUUGGAGAUAUCACAUGAUUUGACUUUUUUACAGGGUUUGCUUGAUAUAUUUCCUCUUGUCUCGGAUGAUUUGGAAGCACGGAGUGCACUCUGGAGUAUUAUUGCAAGGUUACUGGUUUGUGUAAAAGAAAAUGACAUGGGCCUAUCAAAUCUGCAUCAGUAUGUACUGGCUCUAGUAAGCAAAACUGACCUAAUUGAAGAUGAUCUUCUUGACCAGAAAUUAGAUAAUCCGAGUGAAGAAUCCAAGAGUUUGAACAGUUCCAAUAUAAAAUCAGAUACUAGAAGAACAGCUCUUCGAAGAAUAGUCAGUAUUUUAAAUCA
rnacentral:misc_RNA from 1 species